GCGGAGGAAAAGAAACCAACAGGGAUUGCCUCAGUAACGGCGAGUGAAGCGGCAACAGCUCAAAUUUGAAAUCUGGCGCCCUCGGCGCCCGAGUUGUAAUUUGCAGAGGAUGCUUCGGCGAGGGCUCCCGUCUAAGUCCCUUGGAACAGGGCGUCACAGAGGGUGAGAAUCCCGUACGUGAUGGGCUGCCCCGAGCCGUGUGAAGCUCCUUCGACGAGUCGAGUUGUUUGGGAAUGCAGCUCUAAAUGGGAGGUAAAUUUCUUCUAAAGCUAAAUACCGGCCAGAGACCGAUAGCGCACAAGUAGAGUGAUCGAAAGAUGAAAAGCACUUUGGAAAGAGAGUUAAAAAGUACGUGAAAUUGUUGAAAGGGAAGCGCUUGCGACCAGACUCGCGCGCAGUUGCUCAGCCGGUCUCCUGACCGGCGCACUCUCCUGCGCGCGGGCCAGCAUCAGUUCGGGCGGUCGGAUAAAGGCCCCGGGAACGUGGCUCCCCUCGGGGAGUGUUAUAGCCCGGGGUGCAAUGCGGCCAGCCCGGACUGAGGAACUCGCUUCGGCUAGGAUGCUGGCGUAAUGGUCGUAAGCGGCCCGUCUUGAAACACGGACCAAGGAGUCUAACAUCUAUGCGAGUGUUUGGGCGUCAAACCCAUGCGCGUAAUGAAAGUGAACGGAGGUGGGAACCCUCGCGGGUGCACCAUCGACCGAUCCUGAUGUCUUCGGAUGGAUUUGAGUAAGAGCAUAGCUGUUGGGACCCGAAAGAUGGUGAACUAUGCCUGAAUAGGGUGAAGCCAGAGGAAACUCUGGUGGAGGCUCGCAGCGGUUCUGACGUGCAAAUCGAUCGUCAAAUUUGGGUAUAGGGGCGAAAGACUAAUCGAACCAUCUAGUAGCUGGUUCCUGC
rnacentral:rRNA from 1 species